UACGGAGGGUGCGAGCGUUGACCGGAAUCAUUGGGCGUAAAGGGCGCGUAGGUGGCGGGACAAGCGUGCGGUGAAAGCUCGGGGCUCAACCCCGAGUCGGCCGUGCGAACUGUUUUGCUUGAGCACUGUAGAGGCAGGCGGAAUUCCGGGUGUAGCGGUGGAAUGCGUAGAGAUCCGGAAGAACACCGGUGGCGAAGGCGACUCUUUGGCCUGUAACUGACGCUGAGGCGCGAAAGCGUGGGGAGCAAACAGG
rnacentral:rRNA from 1 species